GAUGAAGAAGCUCAACCCCGAAAUCAACGGCGUUGAUGGGUCGGAGUGGAACCCGUUAUCCACAACUGAUCCCAAGUCCCAGCGUUUCUUCUUCAAGAACCAGGCGCAGUUCGUGGACCCUGAUCCGGGCCACUCGUUUCAGGCCAUCAGGGAGCAGAUAUUCGGGUCGAACGACACCUCCUCGGAUCAUCCGCCGAUGAACGGGUUCGCCCAGCAAGCUUUUUCAAUGGACCCGUCUUUGAACAUGUCCCACAAUGUCAUGAAUGGCUUUGAGCCUGAUAUGGUUGCUGUUUACAAGACCCUUGUUUCCGAAUUUGCUGUCUUUGAUAGGUCAGUUUAAAACAGUUUUUAACUUGCACUCGUUUAACUUGUUAGGGGUAAAAUAGUAAUUGACUUUUCCAAAGGUUUAAAUGCAAUUUGAUCUGAGUAGUGUCAAAAUUUUAACAGAAAAAACUUGUCCAAGCAAGCUAUUAAGUGCUUUCCAGACAAAAAGACUAAAAAUUUAGUGCUUUCCAGUUACCAACUUUUGAAAGUUUUGGUGAAAUUCUUUAGAAUUCCUUAAUAAACAACAAAUCAUUUACAUAAAAGUAGUCAGUCAAUCAUAAGGAGACUCGAUUCAGUUUUCUUCUUAAUAGUGUAUGUUAUAUAAAGUCAAAUGCAUAAAUUUCAAUUGAUAUGGUAGCAUGUAAGAAAUUUUGUAAAUUCACGUGUAUAUAUAUAUAUAUUUUUAUGCUAAUAGUAUUCAUGAAUUAUUUAUUAGGUGGUUUGCCUCCGUGCCAUCAUCGACCCAACCAAACCGGCUGUACGUUCACUCCGGGACGUCGGCCGGAGCCACGAGCAACAUUCCGGCAAAGCUCGCCAAAGGGUACCCGCAGAGAACAAUUUUCGAGAACCUCGACGACGCCGGGAUUUCCUUCGGAAUAUACUACCAGAACAUUCCGGCCACACUAUUCUACCGGAACCUGAGAAAGAUCAAGUAUUGGGGGAAAUUCCAUCCGUACGGCACGUCGUUCAAGAAAGAUGCGAGGGACGGGAAGCUUCCGGGAUACGUUGUGGUGGAGCAGCGGUACACGGACACUAAGAGCGAGCCGGGCAAUGACGACCAUCCAUCGCAUGAUGUGUACCAAGGACAGAUGUUCGUGAAGGAGGUGUACGAAACCCUGAGGGCCAGCCCGCAGUGGAAUGAGACUUUGUUCGUGAUCACGUACGAUGAGCACGGUGGGUUUUAUGAUCACGUGCCUACGCCCGUCCGUGGGGUGCCCAGCCCCGACGGCAUUGUGGGGCCCGAACCGUUUCUCUUUAAGUUUGAUCGGUUGGGCGUUCGGGUUCCUACCAUUGCGGUCUCUCCUUGGAUUGAAAAGGGCACCGGUGAGUACACGUGAAAAAAAAAAAAAAAAAUCAGCUCACGGCACUCACUCACUCACUCUCACAUAUUCUUAUAUUCAUAUAUAUUCACAUCCACGUUCCUUUCUUCUUCAUGCACAACAAACCCAAAACGCAAAAAAAAAAAUGUUUUCAAAAACGAGCUUUGUUUUCUUAAUCUUGUUUUUAAUUGUUCGCAACAACAAUGUCAUCCAUGCAGGGAGCCCAAUCAAAACCAUCGUGGUGCUGGUGAUGGAGAACCGUUCGUUCGAUCACAUGAUCGGAUGGAUGAAGAAGCUCAACCCCGAAAUCAACGGCGUUGAUGGGUCGGAGUGGAACCCGUUAUCCACAACUGAUCCCAAGUCCCAGCGUUUCUUCUUCAAGAACCAGGCGCAGUUCGUGGACCCUGAUCCGGGCCACUCGUUUCAGGCCAUCAGGGAGCAGAUAUUCGGGUCGAACGACACCUCCUCGGAUCAUCCGCCGAUGAACGGGUUCGCCCAGCAAGCUUUUUCAAUGGACCCGUCUUUGAACAUGUCCCACAAUGUCAUGAAUGGCUUUGAGCCUGAUAUGGUUGCUGUUUACAAGACCCUUGUUUCCGAAUUUGCUGUCUUUGAUAGGUCAGUUUAAAACAGUUUUUAACUUGCACUCGUUUAACUUGUUAGGGGUAAAAUAGUAAUUGACUUUUCCAAAGGUUUAAAUGCAAUUUGAUCUGAGUAGUGUCAAAAUUUUAACAGAAAAAACUUGUCCAAGCAAGCUAUUAAGUGCUUUCCAGACAAAAAGACUAAAAAUUUAGUGCUUUCCAGUUACCAACUUUUGAAAGUUUUGGUGAAAUUCUUUAGAAUUCCUUAAUAAACAACAAAUCAUUUACAUAAAAGUAGUCA
rnacentral:lncRNA from 1 species